UACGUAGGGGGCAAGCGUUGUCCGGAAUCAUUGGGCGUAAAGCGCACGUAGGCGGCCCUGUAAGUCCGUUGUGAAAGUCAAAGGCUCAACCUUUGAAUGCCGAUGGAUACUGCAGGGCUAGAGUCCGGAAGAGGCGAGUGGAAUUCCUGGUGUAGCGGUGGAGUGCGCAGAUAUCAGGAGGAACACCAAUAGCGAAGGCAGCUCGCUGGGACGGUACUGACGCUAAGGUGCGAAAGCGUGGGGAGCGAACAGG
rnacentral:rRNA from 1 species